rnacentral:lncRNA from 1 species
AAACAUUAUCAUUUUUCAAAAUUCCGAUUGCUAUUUUUUAAUUGAAGUAUUAUCUUUAAUUCUUUGUUUUGUAACUUAUAAAUAAAGAUAUUAAGUUUGCAAUGUUCUAUCUCGACCAUAAAACCUCUCUAGUUCGUUUUCCUUCUGAAGUCCAUGUGAGAGCAACAGUUCUUUUGUCUCCAGUCAUCAUUUGUAAAAUGAUAGAUACAAGUAGUAUUAAAGUUCAAUUAAAGACAACUGCAAGCUAAAAGAUGUGCAGCAAAUUUAAAAUGCCAGUUUCUUUUAAUUGAUUGUAAAAUCUCUAAAAUUUCUUUUUUCUAGAAUUUUAUCUACAUUGUUUGAGAGUUGGUGUAAAAUUUACAUUUUUGAAAAAUCCUCGGAUUGUUUUUUUUUUCUUCUUUUUUUCUCUUAUGUUGGUAACUUCGCUUAUUUAUGUACUUAAUUUAAAAUAUUAUUUGUUUUCUUACCUAGAGGAUGAAAAUGUUGAACAUCCUUGAAGUAUUUUUGGAUGCUGAAAAUUACAAAUAUGAAAGAAUUGAUAUUGGUAUCACUGGUAGUCAAAAACAAGAAGCUAUCAGCUGACCUGAUGGAACCUGAAACAAAAGUUGAAUCUGUUGAUCUGAUCUCAUCAUUAUGAGCAACAGGAAGAUAUGGCAAGAGCUUUGGAACAAAGGAUCAUAAACAAAUCAACCUGUGCGCAUACAAGAUGAUUCAACCAAGCAAGCUACUAUGUCUGACUACAAUUCUGUCUUCACUGUUUCAUCUGGUUUUAAUUCCAGUUUUUGCUCUGGGUCAUGCUCAAGAGAUGUGCAUUCUUCUUGAAAUUUACUGGGAGAAGAUGAAUCUUUAAAUACCCAUCUAUUUUGCUGUUGAUCUAACUGAAAAAGCUACCACCUUUUCUAAGAUGAGAUGUUCAUAGCUUGAACCAACCAAAAAAUCAAGAAAAUAUUUGUGCACCGUAAUAUGUUUAUGUUUAAUUUCAGACAUAUCAAUUAAUUGUGCCAGGUUAUUGUGUAUCUGGAACGAUUGGUCAUAAAGUCAUUAGCGGUGCCAAGUAAAUUGAAUUUGAAAAUCGCCAGAUUGUGGAAACUGAGGAAAGCAUAUUAGUAGUUUUAAGAAUAAUCAUAGAAUUUCAUAAGACCUUCAGGCCACCAUGCAGCUUUGAAAUACAGAUGUUUCUGCUUUAUGUAAAGAAUAUUUACAAAGAUCUGCCUAAUUACUUGCUUCUUAUGUUUGAACCACGACCUACUCCAAAAGUAAAAAAUUUAUUAGCAGCUACGUUGGAACCGUUAUUGAAAGAAACAUUUACCAUAACACUGAUUCAAAUUGAGAAAAGUUAAAAAAGGGGUCCAAAUUCAACUACUCAGAUGCUACUAUGUCCCUAAAGGCACUGACAUAGCUACCUAUAAUUGUUGUCUUGAUGUACCAGCUAUAUAAAAUGAGUGUUCAUAAAGAUGUCGAAGAAUUUGUGCCAUUGAUAAUGACAACUAAUACUUUACAACCCACAGCUCAACAGAGGAACAAUCCAUCUCUCAAUGAAGAAGUUUAUGUUGACUUUAUGCCUGCACAGAAUUUGUGCCAUCCCUAGAAGAGCUUUUUGAUGAAAAUAUAUUAAUUGGAACUGGAUGGACAUAUUAUGAGUCAUUAAGGGGGCUGUGUGUUUGAUUCUGGUGUCCAUCCAAAAAUCUAGCCUUUUGCUUAUAGUACUUAAGCUGAUCUUGUGCAUCAUAUGAGACAAUAUUUAUACUUGAAGGCUCUGGCUAAGGCUGUAAAUGUGUUCU